rnacentral:lncRNA from 1 species
UCGGAAUCAGCAACAAUGUCAUCAGGUGGUGGGGCUUUUGUUAUUACAUUUGGUUACAAGAACCUGCAGUGUAAUCCAGUGGCAAGAAAAGGAAAUGCUGUUUGCAAAACUUGUGGAAUUAACAUUAAAGAUGCUGGCGCAACUACAUCUAACUUCAUACGACAUUUGAAAACUCACCGCGAAAGGUUCACUAAAUUCUGCAACGCAAAGGUGGCCAGCGCAGGGACAGAAGGACAGAGCAGCAUUGACUCAUUCUUGACCACCACAGGUGUCCAUGUGUACAGCCAAGGCCACCCCAGGCUGAAGGCCAUAACAGAGGCUAUACUGCAAGACCUGAUCAUUUCCUGCAACCUGCCUAUAUCCUUAGUGGACAACCCUCACUUUAGGCAUUUCAUGUCAGUGACCUUUGUUUUGGCUGAGGCAUGGAAAUUCACAGUUACAGAGAGCAGUAGUGGAGAAGAAGAAGAACAACCACCUGCCAAAACCUCCAGACUUUUCUCUGGCUACCGCAACAAGAUCAGUGUAACGGCUCUCGUUGGUGGUAGAAGUGGACCAAGGCGCAGCGUGGUAAGUGUUCAUGAUACUUUUAUUCACAAAAACACUUCAACAAAAUACCAAAGUAACAAUCCGAAAGCGCACAGUUCUGUCAUGCACAGAUACUAAACAGAAAACAAGAUCCCACAAACUCAUGUGGAAAACAGGCUGCCUAAGUAUGAUUCCCAAUCAGAGACAAUGAUAGACAGCUGCCUCUGAUUGGGAACCACACUGGCCCAAAAACAAAGAAACAGAAAACAGAAUUUCCC